rnacentral:rRNA from 1 species
GAUGAACGCUGGCGGCGUGCCUAAUACAUGCAAGUAGAACGCUGAAGGAGGAGCUUGCUCUUCUGGAUGAGUUGCGAACGGGUGAGUAACGCGUAGGUAACCUGCCUGGUAGCGGGGGAUAACUAUUGGAAACGAUAGCUAAUACCGCAUGACAACAGUUAUUGCAUGAUAACUGUUUAAAAGGGGCAACUGCUCCACUACCAGAUGGACCUGCGUUGUAUUAGCUAGUUGGUGAGGUAACGGCUCACCAAGGCGACGAUACAUAGCCGACCUGAGAGGGGGAUCGGCCACCCCGGGACUUGGGACAGGCCCCGACUCCUACGGGAGGGAGCAGUAGGGAAUCUUCGGGAAAUGACGGGAGUCUGGACGAGGAACGGCGGGUGAGUGAAGAAGGUUUUCGGAUCGUAAAGCUCUGUUGUAAGAGAAGAACGAGUGUGAGAGUGGAAAGUUCACACUGUGACGGUAUCUUACCAGAAAGGGACGGCUAACUACGUG